AACCUGGUUUUAUUAAAAACCAUAAACACUUUAAAAAGCAGCAAU
rfam:Xiphophorus maculatus strain JP 163 A Contig200.13, whole genome shotgun sequence.